rnacentral:rRNA from 1 species
GACGAACCGAGCGAACGUUGUUCGGAAUCACUGGGCUUAAAGGGCGCGUAGGCGGGUGCUCAAGUCUGUGGUGAAAUCCUCCGGCUCAACCGGAGAACUGCCAUGGAUACUGGGUGUCUCGAGGGUGGUAGGGGUAUGCGGAACUAUCGGUGGAGCGGUGAAAUGCGUUGAUAUCGAUAGGAACUCCGGUGGCGAAGGCGGCAUACUGGACCACUUCUGACGCUGAGGUGCGAAAGCCAGGGGAGCGAACGGG